CAAUUGUGCAAGAGGAGCCUUGCGCGCCGGGCGCGUAUCACCGAGCGCAUGGUACAAGCCGCCGGCUCCGGUGAUUAAUUAUCAGCAGCCGCUGGCCUCGCAUAUCACCUCGGCUUUCUCGGCAGAGCCAGCACACCCAGCACACCCUGCCGCCACCAGCGUGGCUGGGAUGGAGGAGCGGCUCUGGGGAGGACGCCGAGGCUGCUCCGGAGCGAGCCCUUAGGGAAACCAUGAAGUAACCCUGCACAUUCCAGUAACACAGUUAUGACAAAACAGAGCCCAACUAUGAAGUGAUCAAAUUUUUUAAAAUGUUAAGAAAGAAAAACAGCACAAACAAAAGUGCACAUAACAAUUCAAGAUUUCUUU